rnacentral:rRNA from 1 species
AGAGUUUGAUCCUGGCUCAGAUUGAACGCUGGCGGCAGGCCUAACACAUGCAAGUCGAGCGGUAGAGAGGUGCUUGCACCUCUUGAGAGCGGCGGACGGGUGAGUAAUGCCUAGGAAUCUGCCUGGUAGUGGGGGAUAACGCUCGGAAACGGACGCUAAUACCGCAUACGUCCUACGGGAGAAAGCAGGGGACCUUCGGGCCUUGCGCUAUCAGAUGAGCCUAGGUCGGAUUAGCUAGUUGGUGGGGUAAUGGCUCACCAAGGCGACGAUCCGUAACUGGUCUGAGAGGAUGAUCAGUCACACUGGAACUGAGACACGGUCCAGACUCCUACGGGAGGCAGCAGUGGGGAAUAUUGGACAAUGGGCGAAAGCCUGAUCCAGCCAUGCCGCGUGUGUGAAGAAGGUCUUCGGAUUGUAAAGCACUUUAAGUUGGGAGGAAGGGCAUUAACCUAAUACGUUAGUGUUUGGACGUACCGACAGAAUAAGCACC